rnacentral:rRNA from 1 species
AGUGAACGCUGGCGGUAGGCCUAACACAUGCAAGUCGAACGGCAGCACAGUAAGAGCUUGCUCUUACGGGUGGCGAGUGGCGGACGGGUGAGGAAUACAUCGGAAUCUACUUUUUCGUGGGGGAUAACGUAGGGAAACUUACGCUAAUACCGCAUACGACCUACGGGUGAAAGCAGGGGAUCUUCGGACCUUGCGCGAUUGAAUGAGCCGAUGUCGGAUUAGCUAGUUGGCGGGGUAAAGGCCCACCAAGGCGACGAUCCGUAGCUGGUCUGAGAGGAUGAUCAGCCACACUGGAACUGAGACACGGUCCAGACUCCUACGGGAGGCAGCAGUGGGGAAUAUUGGACAAUGGGCGCAAGCCUGAUCCAGCCAUACCGCGUGGGUGAAGAAGGCCUUCGGGUUGUAAAGCCCUUUUGUUGGGAAAGAAAAGCAGCAGGUUAAUACCCAGCUGUUCUGACGGUACCCAAAGAAUAAGCACCGGCUAACUUCGU